GACGAACGCUGGCGGCGUGCUUAACACAUGCAAGUCGAACGGAAAGGCCCUGCUUUUGUGGGGUGCUCGAGUGGCGAACGGGUGAGUAACACGUGAGUAACCUGCCCUUGACUUUGGGAUAACUUCAGGAAACUGGGGCUAAUACCGGAUAGGAGCUCCUGCUGCAUGGUGGGGGUUGGAAAGUUUCGGCGGUUGGGGAUGGACUCGCGGCGUAUCAGCUUGUUGGUGGGGUAGUGGCUUACCAAGGCUUUGACGGGUAGCCGGCCUGAGAGGGUGACCGGCCACAUUGGGACUGGAAUACGGCCCAGACUCCAACGGGAGGCAAGAGUGGGGAAUAUUGCACAAUGGGCGGAAGGCUGGUGCAGCAACGCCGCGUGCGGGGAGACGGGCUUCGGGUUGGAAACCACUUUCGCCUGUGACGAAGCGUUAGUGACGGUAAUGGGUGAAGAAGCACCGGCUAACUACGUG
rnacentral:rRNA from 1 species